UACGUAGGGACCAAGCGUUGUUCGGAUUUACUGGGCGUAAAGGGCGCGUAGGCGGCCUUGUAAGUGGGGUGUGAAAUCCCCCGGCUCAACCGGGGAACUGCAUCCCAGACUGCAGGGCUUGAGGGCAGCAGAGGAAACGGGAAUUCCCGGUGUAGCGGUGAAAUGCGUAGAGUAUCGGGAGGAACACCAGUGGCGAAGGCGACGUUUCUGGGCUGCAACUGACGCUGAUGCGCGAAAGCUAGGGGAGCAAACAGG
rnacentral:rRNA from 1 species